rnacentral:RNase_P_RNA from 1 species
CGGGCGGGCCGGGUGAUCGCUGGCUUGGUCAUCGCAAGAUGGCUAGGCGGGAGGAAAGUCCGGACAUCGUCCUGAGGCACGCUCUUCAUUUUGUGGGGAGCGGAACUCUUGACUGGGCAACGCGCCUGAUAACGUCAGGGGGCUUGCCACGCAGGGUCUGCCGGAAGGCAGAGUUACACGCAUAAGCGUGUGGCGCUGGGUUUAACCCGGCGCAGUGCGGUUGAGCUACGGACAGUGCCACAGAGAAUAGACCGCCGGCGGAGCGCAGCACGGUGACAUCGCGCAGGGAAACCUGCGGGACGUCUUCGAAAAGCACGCAAUGUUUGGCAAGGGUGAAAAGGUGGGGUAAGAGCCCACCGCUCCGGUGGUGACACCGGAGGCACGGAAAACCCCGCGUGAUGCAAGGCCAAAUAGGAGGGGAGAGCCGGCCCGGCUCGAUGAGUCAGCGUUCAUGAGAAUGAACGCGCUCCUUCUGCGGUGGCGCAAGCCAUUCGUGGACUGAAAACCCUCGGGUAGGCUGCUCGAGUCACGGUGCGAACCGUGGCCUAGAGGAAUGAUCGCCGCGGCGCGCAGGCCGUUCCGCGGUUUGCGCGCGGCACAGAAUCCGGCUUACAUGGCUCGCCCGCUUA